rnacentral:rRNA from 1 species
GUGGCUUUCGGAGCUAACGCGUUAAAUCGACCGCCUGGGGAGUACGGCCGCAAGGUUAAAACUCAAAUGAAUUGACGGGGGCCCGCACAAGCGGUGGAGCAUGUGGUUUAAUUCGAUGCAACGCGAAGAACCUUACCUACUCUUGACAUCCAGAGAACUUAGCAGAGAUGCUUUGGUGCCUUCGGGAACUCUGAGACAGGUGCUGCAUGGCUGUCGUCAGCUCGUGUUGUGAAAUGUUGGGUUAAGUCCCGCAACGAGCGCAACCCUUAUCCUUUGUUGCCAGCGACUCGGUCGGGAACUCAAAGGAGACUGCCGGUGAUAAACCGGAGGAAGGUGGGGAUGACGUCAAGUCAUCAUGGCCCUUACGAGUAGGGCUACACACGUGCUACAAUGGCGUAUACAAAGAGAAGCGACCUCGCGAGAGCAAGCGGAACUCAUAAAGUACGUCGUAGUCCGGAUUGGAGUCUGCAACUCGACUCCAUGAAGUCGGAAUCGCUAGUAAUCGUAGAUCAGAAUGCUACGGUGAAUACGUUCCCGGGCCUUGUACACACCGCCCGUCACACCAUGGGAGUGGGUUGCAAAAGAAGUAGGUAGCUUAACCUUCGGGAGGGCGCU